rnacentral:tRNA from 1 species
ACUUAUAUAAUAUAAAAAAUAUAAUUGACUUCCAAUCAAAUAAUCUAGAAAUCUAGUUUAAGUA